rnacentral:lncRNA from 1 species
UGGAAAGAAGAAAAAGAUACAGAAUCUCAUGCUGUCGAUCCCAAGCAGAGCAAAAUGUCAAAAAUUGACAAGAGCCAAGCAAAGUGCUUCUUCUGUAAGAAGCUAGGUUGAAAAAGGAAUUAUCUUGCUUAUAUAUCCACCCUUGACCCAAACAGGCCUAAGAAUAAGAGAAAAAUGCAAGUGGUUGCUUCACAAGGUAUUUAUAUGAUAACACCUUAUAAUUUUUCUAUUUGUUAUACUACUACCUAGGCAUUCGACACCAAAAGUCCUAUUAAUAUAUGCAAUUCAUUGCAGAGAC